rnacentral:tRNA from 1 species
GCCUAGUUAGCUUGGUUGGUAGCGCGUCUGCCUUGUAAGCGCUAGGCCGCGGGUUCCAUUCCCGCCCGGGGCG